CGGGCGUGCCUAAUACAUGCAAGUCGAACGCACUCUCGUUAGAUUGAAGAAGCUUGCUUCUGAUUGAUAACAUUUGAGUGAGUGGCGGACGGGUGAGUAACACGUGGGUAACCUGCCCUAAAGUGGGGGAUAACAUUUGGAAACAGAUGCUAAUACCGCAUAAAACCUAGCACCGCAUGGUGCAAGGUUGAAAGAUGGUUUCGGCUAUCACUUUAGGAUGGACCCGCGGUGCAUUAGUUAGUUGGUGAGGUAAAGGCUCACCAAGACCGUGAUGCAUAGCCGACCUGAGAGGGUAAUCGGCCACACUGGGACUGAGACACGGCCCAGACUCCUACGGGAGGCAGCAGUAGGGAAUCUUCCACAAUGGACGAAAGUCUGAUGGAGCAACGCCGCGUGAGUGAAGAAGGUUUUCGGAUCGUAAAACUCUGUUGUUGGAGAAGAACGUAUUUGAUAGUAACUGAUCAGGUAGUGACGGUAUCCAACCAGAAAGCCACGGCUAACUACGUG
rnacentral:rRNA from 2 species